rnacentral:ncRNA from 1 species
GGUCAUGAGAGCCAGUGAUAAGCCCCAGCUAGCUGGUCGGCAACCCUCCUCCGCGGUGGGGUGCCCUGGGUGAGGACCAGGCGUUACACACAAGUGCAGCGCAAGCGCGGG